GAUCGCUCUCGGGGCAGGGUGGAAUUCCCGACCGGCGGUGAAAGCCCGCGAGCCCCCUUCUGGGGGUUGACCCGGUGGAAUUCCGGGGCCGACGGUGAAAGUCCGGAUGGGAGAGAGCGAAG
rfam:Thermotoga neapolitana malG, malA, aglA and ribD genes, partial